GGGGAUUUAGCUCAGUGGUAAGAGCGCUUGCCUAGCAAGUGCAAGGCCCUGAGUUCAGUCCUCA
rnacentral:tRNA from 1 species